rnacentral:rRNA from 1 species
AGCGUUGUUCGGAAUUACUGGGCGUAAAGCGCACGUAGGCGGCUUUGUAAGUUAGAGGUGAAAGCCCAGGGCUUAACCCUGGAAUUGCCUUUAAGACUACAUCGCUAGAAUCGUGGAGAGGUGAGUGGAAUUCCGAGUGUAGAGGUGAAAUUCGUAGAUAUUCGCAAGAACACCAGUGGCGAAGGCGGCUAACUGGCCCGAUACUGACGCUGAGGCACGAAAGCGUGGGGAGCAAACAGG